rnacentral:rRNA from 1 species
CACUUUCAGUAGGGAGGAAGGUAGUGUAGUUAACACCUGCAUUAUUUGACGUUACCUACAGAAGAAGCACCGGCUAACUCCGUGCCAGCAGCCGCGGUAAGUACGGAGGGUGCGAGCGUUAAUCGGAAUUACUGGGCGUAAAGCGCAUGCAGGCGGCCUGUUAAGUCAGAUGUGAAAGCCCCGGGGCGUUAACCUCGGAAUUGCAUUUGAAACUGGCAGGCUAGAGUCUUGUAGAGGGGGUAGAAUUUCAGGUGUAGCGGUGAAAUGCGUAGAGAUCUGAAGGAAUACCAGUGGCGAAGGCGGCCCCCCUGGACAAAGACUGACGCUCAGAUGCGAAAGCGUGGGGAGCAAACAAGGAUUAGAUACCCUGGUAG